GGCAGCCGACGACGUAGAACCUGGUUCCUGGACAGGUAAGUCCUUACAGGGUUCACACCUGUGAAAGGAAAGAACUUUGACGUGCGACAGGGAGAAAAGGGUAGAGGAGGGAGGUCUACGCGGGACAAAAAGAAUCAUGGAGUUUGGAAACCACAAUGCAGUACAAGAAUGAAAUGAAGACAAGAAGACGUGUCGCAGUAAAUAUCAUCAGUUUCAGGAGGAAAGAGUGAACAGGACAUCCAGACAUUUGAGGAGAACAAAGCAUAAAGGAAAAGCCAUAAGGGGUUCAAGCCUGUGAAGGGAAGAACUUCAACGUGGGACAGAGAAAAGAGGGUAGAGGAGGGAGGUCUACGCGGGACAAAAUGAAACAUGGAGUUUGGAAACCACAAUGCAGUAGAAGAAUGAAAUGAAGACAAGAAGACGUGUCGCAGUAAAAAUCUUCAAGUUCAGGAGGAAAGACUGAACAGGAUAUUCAGACAUUUGAGGAGGACAGAGCAUAAAUGAAAAGCCAUAAUGGCUUCAAGCCUAGGAAGGGAAGAACUUCGACGUGGGACAGAGAAAAGAGGUUAGAGGAGGGAGGUCUACGCGGGACAUAAAGAAUCGUGGAGUUUAGAAUCUGCAAUGUAGUACAAGAAUGAAAUGAAGUCAAGAAGUCGUUUUCCAAUAAAGAUCUUCAGAUUGAGGGGGAAAUACUGAAUAGGAUAUCCAGACACUAGAGCAGGCCAUAGCAUAAAUGAAAAGCCAUAAUGGGUUCAAGACUGACGAAGAAAUUCGACGUGGGACAGAGAGAAGAGGGUAGAGGAGGGAAGUCUACGUGGGACAAAAAGAAUCAUCGAGUUUAAAAAGUAAAAUGUAGUAAAAGAAUGAAAUGAAGACAGGAAGACAAAUCACAGUAAAGAUCAUCGGGUUCAGGAGAAACAAUGAACAGGACAUCCAGACGCAGGACAGGACAGAGCAUAAACGAAAAAUCAUAAUGGGUUCAAA